rnacentral:rRNA from 1 species
GACAGAGGAUGCAAGCGUUAUCCGGAAUGAUUGGGCGUAAAGCGUCUGUAGGUGGCUUUUUAAGUCGGGGGUGAAAUCCUGGAGCUCAACUCCAGAACUGCCUUCGAUACUGGAAGACUCGAGUCCGGGAGAGGUGAGUGGAACUGCGAGUGUAGAGGUGAAAUUCGUAGAUAUUCGCAAGAACACCAGUGGCGAAGGCGGCUCACUGGCCCGGUACUGACGCUGAGGUGCGAAAGCGUGGGGAGCAAACAGG